rnacentral:tRNA from 1 species
CGGGGUGGAGCAGCACGGUAGCUCGUCGGGCUCAUAACCCGAAGGUCGCAGGUUCAAAUCCUGUNUCUUUA